AGAUCUUCAUGGAGAUGUUUUAGCAUGAGAGAUCAUGCAAAAUGUACAAAGUAACAGUAUGGAACACUUUAGAAGCAGAGAAAAUUGUUCAGGUAGGAUGCGAUGCUUAAAGCGGGAAAAGGAAACUAUGGGCCCAGUUCCGUGAAGUCCUAGACACCUUCAACUCCAGUUGACUUCAUCGGGAGUUCAGAGACUUGCAAGACCCGGCCUGACUGGGACAGUUAACAGGAAGGACUGGGAGGAAGUGAGAGCACUGCUGGUGUUUGAGGCUGCACAGUGUGAAACAAUGGUGAUUUUGACAAAAUCCAGGGCUUUGCCUAUCUCAGUCUUCGGCUGGAAAACAAAAUGCCAGCAACCCUCCAGCCCCAGCUCCUCCUACCGCAGGGAGAGCGUCUAACUAAUCAAAAUAGAUCAUGAAGCCUCAUGAGAUAUUUAAUCUGGAUAUGGAUCGCCCGGUGGAAGAACCUGCUGCCAUUUCAAACAGAGUCCCUCAAGUCAGAUUGUCACGUGAUGCUCCUUAGUUCCCUCCAGCUGUACACCCUCCACCCAAACCUGGAGACACGGAAGCCACGCAGCCGAGUGUACUGAGGAAGCAGCUAUAAAAAUAAGAUACAAAAGCCAGCCUUGCAGGAGCAGCUUCAGCCUAAACAGGGUUUUCAUAGGCGAGUUUCUCACAAGUGCUUUGCCCUGUGGAAUGGAACAGAAACCAAUAGGGAUUUUUUUUCUACAGGCACUAAGGGCCAGAUUUUUAAAGGAAUUCAGGCACCUAACUCCAUUAGGCAUUGCCUACUAGAUUAGGUCAAACAGUAUCUAGUAUGUUGCAAAGAAGCCGGAGUUAGAGCUAGAUUUGUCAAGGUAUU